rfam:Triticum aestivum genome assembly, contig: Triticum_aestivum_CS42_TGACv1_scaffold_499547_6BL
UAUAUACUCUUUCCAUUCCGAAAUUCUUGUCUUAGAUUCGUCUAGAUACGUAUGUACCUAAUACUCAAACAUGACUUGAUACAUCCGUAUUUAGAUAAAUCUAAGACAAAAAUUUUAGGACGGAGGGAGUAUAUA